UACGUAGGAUGCAAGCGUUGUCCGGAUUUACUGGGCGUAAAGCGCGCGCAGGCGGCAGUACAAGUACCCUCUGAAAUCUCCUUGCUCAACGAGGAGGGUGGAGGGUAGACUGUGCAGCUAGAGGAGGGUAGAGGGGGGUAGAAUUGCUGGUGUAGCGGUGAAAUGCGUAGAGAUCCGGAGGAACACCAGUGGCGAAGGCGACACGCUGGGCCGUACCUGACACUGAUGCGCGACAGCAUGGGGAGCAAACAGG
rnacentral:rRNA from 1 species